UCGCUUGUUCUUCUCCUUCGUGCGGAUUUUGUUUUCCCAUACAAUUUACUGACAUUUAUUGCCCAGUAAAAAAUUAAAUGUACGAGUAAAGGUGAUCUGCCUUGUUCAGGUUUUUGUAAGGUGCUUGAACUAUUUUUGAUGUGGAUCUUUGUGACUGACUACUUAUUGUCGUUAGUAGGCUGCCUUGGAUUGGGGGGGGUUGAUGAAUUUUGUGUUGAUUGUUGAACCUGAUGAAAAAAGCAGUGGCCCGUUGCCCUUGUGAACAGGUCUUUCAUAAACUUCAGGGAAAUCACUUGCAAUGUUAUUGGGUGAACCCAUGUUUGAUUCCCAUAACUAGAGGUUCAGUAAAUGAUGCCACAUUCGAUUGCUACUACAUGUAGUUUUUUGGAGUAGAUUCUUUUAAGUUUGAUUUUGCUCUCGUUAGAUUUAUAGAGGACAGUCAGUUGAACCUGAUGAAAAAAGCAGUGGCCUGUUGCCUUGUGAACAGGUCUCUCGUAAACUUCAGGGAAAUCACUUGCAAUGUUAUUGGGUGAACCCAUGUUUGAUUCUCGUAACUAAAGGUUCAGUAAAUGAUGCCACAUUCGAUUGCUACUGCAUGUAGUUUUUUGGAGUAGAUUCUUUUAAGUUUGAUUUUGCUCUCAUUAGAUUUAUAGAUGACAGUUGAACCUGAUGAAAAAAGCAGUGGCCUGUUGCCCUUGUGAACAGGUCUCUUGUAAACUGCAGCGAAAUCACUUGCAAUGUUAUUGGGUGAACACCCAUGUUUGAUUCUAGUAACUAAAGGUUCAGUAAAUGAUGCCACAUUCGAAUGCUACUGCAUGUAGUUUUUUGGAGUAGAUUCUUUUAAGUUUGUUUUGCUCUUGUUGGAUUUAUAGACAGUUGAACCUGAUGAAAAAAGCAGUGGCCUGUUGCCCUUGUGAACAGGUCUCUUGUAAACUUCAGGGAAAUCACUUGCAAUGUUAUUGGGUGAACCCAUGUUUGAUUCUUGUAACUAAAGGUUCAGUAAAUGAUGCCACAUUCUCGAU